AACGAACGCUGGCGGCAUGCCUAACACAUGCAAGCCGAACGAGAUCUUCGGGUCUAGUGGCGCACGGGUGCGUAACGCGUGGAAAUCUGCCCUUUGGUUCGGAAUAACAGUUGGAGACGACUGCUAAUACCGGAUGAUGACGAAAGUCCAAAGAUUUAUCGCCAGAGGAUGAGCCCGCGUAGGAUUAGCUAGUUGGUGUGGUAAAGGCGCACCAAGGCGACGAUCCUUAGCUGGUCUGAGAGGAUGAUCAGCCACACUGGGACUGAGACACGGCCCAGACUCCUACGGGAGGCAGCAGUGGGGAAUAUUGGACAAUGGGCGAAAGCCUGAUCCAGCAAUGCCGCGUGAGUGAUGAAGGCCUUAGGGUUGUAAAGCUCUUUUACCCGGGAUGAUAAUGACAGUACCGGGAGAAUAAGCUCCGGCUAACUCCGUGCCAGCAGCCGCGGUAA
rnacentral:rRNA from 1 species